UUACACAAAAAGUUAAUAAGAUACACAUCACCAACACUUUCUGGUAUACACUACACCCAGCAUAGAUUACACCCCAAAAUAUAAUCCAAAAUGAAUACUCUUUCCACUAGCUAACAUAACCAACCUCUUCUAGUAUGAGUGCUGCUAAUGAAAUCUCUAUGCUAUGCUAAGAUGCUUUGCAUCUGCCAAGGAAAGAGAGAAAAAUCACAUAAUGAGACUUUCAUCCUAGUG
rnacentral:lncRNA from 1 species